rnacentral:rRNA from 1 species
CAGGUUGAUAUUCCUGUACCACCUAUAAUCGUUUUAAUCGAUGGGGGGACGCAGUAGGAUAGGCGAAGCGUGCGAUUGGAUUGCACGUCUAAGCAGUAAGGCUGAGUAUUAGGCAAAUCCGGUACUCGUUAAGGCUGAGCUGUGAUGGGGAGAAGACAUUGUGUCUUCGAGUCGUUGAUUUCACACUGCCGAGAAAAGCCUCUAGAUAGAAAAUAGGUGCCCGUACCGCAAACCGACACAGGUAGUCAAGAUGAGAAUUCUAAGGUGAGCGAGCGAACUCUCGUUAAGGAACUCGGCAAAAUGACCCCGUAACUUCGGGAGAAGGGGUGCUCUUUAGGGUUAACGCCCAGAAGAGCCGCAGUGAAUAGGCCCAAGCGACUGUUUAUCAAAAACACAGGUCUCUGCUAAACCGUAAGGUGAUGUAUAGGGGCUGACGCCUGCCCGGUGCUGGAAGGUUAAGAGGAGUGGUUAGCUUCUGCGAAGCUACGAAUCGAAGCCCCAGUAAACGGCGGCCGUAACUAUAACGGUCCUAAGGUAGCGAAAUUCCUUGUCGGGUAAGUUCCGACCCGCACGAAAGGCGUAACGAUUUGGGCACUGUCUCAACGAGAGACUCGGUGAAAUCAUAGUACCUGUGAAGAUGCAGGUUACCCGCGACAGGACGGAAAGACCCCGUGGAGCUUUACUGUAGCCUGAUAUUGAAAUUCGGCACAGCUUGUACAGGAUAGGUAGGAGCCUUUGAAACGUGAGCGCUAGCUUACGUGGAGGCGCUGGUGGGAUACUACCCUAGCUGUGUUGGCUUUCUAACCCGCACCACUUAUCG